rnacentral:lncRNA from 1 species
CAUUGCCUAGACUGAGGAGAAUUUUUUGGAGGUUUGGGAAUCGUUCCGUCAAUGAAACUUAUUUUAUUCCUAGCGGAUAGCGAGACGACUAUAUUACGUCUCCAUCCCCCAAAACCAAUCCCUGAAAAGGGUUUGCUUACUAAAGAGAUUCCCGGAACAUCGGAAGACAAGAGAAACAAGGGUUUCGAGGGGUCAAUUACGAAAUUACCAGUCCUAGACUCAGAGGUAUCACCAACAUUAACCAUUUUUGGCUGAGAAACGUUAUCGGGCUUGAAACUUGUAAGAUAGAAACCCUAACUGCUCCUAGAUACACAAAAACUUCAGGAAUCGACUUACUCCUAUGUUUGAACUGACGAGGGGAAGCAUGAAACUCAGAAACUCAAAAAAAAUCAAGAAUUACCGAAGAAUAUCCAGAGAAAACAGAGAAAAAGAGAAAAACCUAGAUUUGCCAGAGAACACAGAAACUUUGACGAAAAACAGUGAGGGUAACAUCGCGACGAAGCCCUUGACGAGCGGAAUCAGAAUCCCUGCUCUGAUACCAUGUGAAGAUUAACGAUUUCCAUCGAUGAACAGAAUUACUUUCAGAUGAUAGAGAGAGAAGAAGAAAGAACUUUUUAUCAUUGAAUUGAAU